AAACAAAGUCAAAAAAAUUUUGUUUAAAAAACCAGUUGCUAUAGUUAAACCUUAUAUUCCUGAAAAGGAAUAUAAAUUGCCGCAAUUUUAUGUACCUAGAGUGGUAGAGAACAGACCUCUAGAAGAAGAAGAUGAAAAUAUGUAUGCAGGCAAACUUGAUUAUUAUGAUGAUUUGCCUGAUAUAGAUGAUGAACAAAUACGCUUAAUGCAUGAGUAUGAAUUUGGAACACCGCAAAGAAGAAAUCGUUACUUUUGUCGCGAAUGUUGCUCAUGUGUCAAUAGCGAUAGCGUUUGUCGUGGAUGUUGCUCAUGUAUCGAUAGCAAUGAAUGUGAAGGAUGUUGUGGCUGUUUGUUUUAGUUUCCUUUUAUUAAAAAAAAUUUGUAC